GUGAGGAAGGCAGCAACCAAUUAGGGAGGAGGGGGGAGAAAAUAAAAAUCCUAACUCUCCUUCGGAGGAACUCUCUGGAACUCUCUCUGUUUUCUACUUCCAGAUGAUCUCAUCAACUACAAGAGGGAAGAAGGAAAAGGAUUCUCAAAACUUAAAUCCCCAGAAUUGUAAAACAUUGAGGGGGAAGUCCACACUCUCACUCUUGCUCUGAGGCAGAGCUGUAAAGGGAGAAUCUCGCUUCAAUUUGCAGUGAUGGUUAUCCAAUUGCAACAGCAACAACAAAAGGUGUUGGCAAGUGGUUUGGGUAGAUUACGAGAAACUGUUUGGUAUUUUGGUUCCGUUGAGUGGUCUGGGACCCGAUGUUGUUGGAUUCCAUUGAGUGGUCCGGAAUCUGCCUAACAGAUGCGUAAGAGUGACUCUGCUUGGUUCAUCUGCGAUAGGGGGUCACUGCCUACUUGGUUACUGCAAAGGUGGUUCUGCUUGGUUAAUCCGCAAUAAGGGGCCACUUCCUAUUUGGUUACUUAUGUAGGCUUCGGCCGAACUGCGUCCCUCUAGCCCUAAUUUUUAAUGCACAUAUAAAUGAUGGUUUUUGGGAAUCUUGAUGGUUUGAAUGGGAAAAGCCGUUGGAUGUCUAGGUGACUCAUUUGGAGUUUUCAGUGACUUGAUUAUGAUUUCAUAAAGCAUGAUUCUAUACUCGAUGUUUAUAGAUUGUGAUCGAUGGUCUGUUUUUGUUGAAUAUCACAUACUUGUAUUAUUGUCACUCACCCGAGCUUCACAGCUUAA